ensembl:lncRNA
GUUGGAAAUGGCGCCUUGUCCAAUACAACAACCAAGGAAACGGGCAGAAAACAUGGAACCCCUAUUACAUUGACUUUCCCAGAGUUAAAUCAUCAACAGGUGGCUGAACAAUGAAUAUAUGCUCACCUGGAGCCUGUAUAAGGCCACCUGGGAAAGGUGAGGAGGAACGCCACUCGCCGCCGUGCUGACCAGCCUGCCAUUCGACCUGGCCCUGACGCUGCCCUUCCCCUCACACUAUUAACAGCCGGUCACCAAGGGUCCCAAUCGCGUCGAUACAAGGGUGGCACGGCUGGCCCUCAGAAAGUUGUUGGCCUGGGACGGAGGUACAAGGUGACUGAUGAAGGAUUGACCCAGGCAACUGACCGACCACCCUCAAUACUCCCGGCCUUCCCUUCUCUCCCGUCUCUCGGACUCAUACAGGCUUCACAGCUCAGCACACAUUUAACACACAGGUUUACAACCAUUACAAUGAACCUUUGACUCUUGCCAAUGCCCUCUAGAACACAGUUUGGAAAAAGUUUUUAAUCACAAGAUUUGGUAAUAGCAGAGAUUUUCAUGUCACCUAUGAUGUUUUGGAAAUACUAAAAUCAGAGUUCAGUUCAAUGCCAUACAUGGCAAUGACAGUGUAAUGGGAUUUACACACACACACACACACACACACACACACACACACACACACAGGGACCUCUGUUUCUACUUGAAAGUAUCCUCUGACUCUGAGAAAGUGUGUCUCACAGACUUUAUUUAGCCCACAGAGGAAUGUCUGCCUCACUACCAUUUGAUACCAUAGUCUCUCAGUACUCAGAAUUCCCAAGGUGAGUCUAAUGUUUUAUGGCUGUCUGAGAGGACAAAAGGGAUUCGCUCCAACCACUGUAUCCUAAAACAGGAGCAGAAUAACAUCCACAAGAAGACAAUGAAGCCUUUUCUGCAACUAUGCGCAAUGGGAAAGCACUCUAAAACAUGAUAUAAAACAAAAUGCAUGACUAAUGGAAAAAUGGGACUGGAUUCGGUCUUAUGUAGCAAAAUUUGAAAUUGUGUUUUUUACAUUAGAUAAAAGUAGAGACUCAGAGCUACACAAAUGUAUAUCAUACACUGCAUUUGAGGAACAAUGGGAAAGUAAUUUUGCUUUGAAAGUUGAUCAACUUGUAAUCUCACAUUUGAGAAAAUCGCCUUUGAAUGUUUGCGAUCUAGUGAAGAUCUCUUCUUUGUCUACACACAUUCAGCAUUGUUCACACCCUCACCAUAAGCUUUAGCCCCACCCAUCUCGUUUUGCUCUCGAAGCUCACACUUGACGCUCUGGCCAAUGAUUUGUUUACCUCUGGAUUGCAUGAAAACAGUCUAACCAGCUCUGCUGGCAACAAUUUCAUUACGCUUUUUUUGCAGACGUUUACUGACACCGGGUAUAUUCAACGGGUGUUGUACACACAUCACGUAAUGUUAGUUAACGAGCCAGCCAGCCAAAGUUAGCUAGUUAAACAAAAAACAGUGCCAAAAAUGCCACAAUGCUGGGAGCUAACCAACCAUGUUCAAUGUUAGCUAGCUAACAUUAGGCUCGAACUAGAACUGCACACGGCUCUGGGAAACAAAUAAUAACGUCAGUUAGGGAGCCAGCCAGCUAACAUGAGCUAGCUAACGGUACACUUUAGCUAGAAAUUAAACCACUUUCUGUCAAAAUUAGAAAACAUGUCAUAUCUGAAAACGGAGCUAGCUGACGCUAGACUAUCUUACCUGUAUACAUCAUCGUGCAUGGACGCGUCUCCCUGUCUGGAAUGCCAUGCCACUGUUGCCCUUAGUUUGAAGAUGUAAUCCGGAGACAGGUGUUUCCUCCAUCUCUUUAGCUAUCAUACUCUAAUUCCACUGAUUUUAAAACUUUAUCCUCCAGAAAGUGGAGAGACACAAAUAUGCAGCUCCACUACACAAUAUAUAUUUUUUUAAAAGCCGCGUUCGACAGGAUUACCAACACAGACUGACGAGCUUCUAUGGCAGACCAAUCUGAACUCUUCUCUCGGCAUGUCCAAUCUGUCACGAAUACCACCGAAGGUGGCUCCUCUUCCUGUUCGGGUGGCGCUCGGCGCUCGUCGUCGCCGGUCUACUAGCUGCCACCGAUCCCUUUUUCCUUUUCGUUUGUUUUUGUCUAAUUGUUUUCACCCGUUCCUUGUUGGGCUUUUGGGGUGGGUAUUAUUUAAGUUUCUUUAGCCCACUUGUGGUUGUGCAGGCUUGUUGUUAUUGUAUUUAGGUGGUAUAUUGUUGAUUUUGGGUUUUCGCUGUCCGGUUUAUGUAACAGUGGUCUUUGGGUUGUGUUUGCUCCUUUGUUUUGGCUUCACCAAUUUUUGUACCUGUUCUUGUUUACUGAGAACAUUAAAGUGUUUUCCCGUGAAACUUCUGCUCUCUGCGCCUGACUCCACACCCAUCACUCUUCCGACGUUACAGAAGCCCGCACCACUUUUAUGGAGUCAGCAGGAGCAGCGACCACCCUUCUCCCCACGAUGGAGGAGAGAGUCCUUUAUCACACGUCCAUCCUCCAUCGCAUCGGAUCAGCGAUGGAUCAAAUGAUGGAGAGGAUGGACCGUUGGGAGAGGAGUGGUCUCCCUAUUACCCGACCUACCGUCCCACCAGCAACUCUACCAUCUCCUCCAGCGGGAUCCGGUGCCAGCGCUCUGCGUAUUACGCCUCCGAGGGAGUACGAUGGAGCGGCGGGGGGUGCCAGGGAUUCCUGCUACAAAUAGAUCUCUACCUGGUCACCGUUCGGCCGGCUCCCUCGGACGAGGAGCGCGUGAGUGUCCUCGUCUCCUGCCUGAUGGGUGGAGCCCUGGAGUGGGCCAAUGACGUCUGGAACGGGCCCGACUCAGCGAGGGGCCACUACCUGGAGUUCACCCGCCGUUUCCGGGCCGUGUUCGAUCACCCUCCGGAGGGCCGAGCGGAGGGUGAGAGGUUGUUCCAUCUCCGGCAGGGGACGAGGAGCGCGCAGGACUUCGCGCUGGAAUUCUGGACCUUGGCCGCUGGAGCGGGGUGGAACGACAGGGCCCUGAUAGACCAUUACAGGUGUAGCCUGAGAGAGGACAUCCGCAGGGAGCUGGCUUGUUGGGACACAACGCUCAGCCUGGAUGAGCUAAUAG